rnacentral:rRNA from 1 species
UACGAAGGGGGCUAGCGUUGCUCGGAAUUACUGGGCGUAAAGCGCACGUAGGCGGUCUUUUUAAGUCGGGGGGUGGAAAUCCUGGAGCUCAACUCCAGAACUGCCUUCGAUACUGGCGAUCUCGAGUUCGGGGAGAGGUGAGUGGAACUGCGAGUGUAGAGGUGAAAUUCGUAGAUAUUCGCAAGAACACCAGUGGCGAAGGCGGCUCACUGGCCCGGUACUGACGCUGAGGUGCGAAAGCGUGGGGAGCAAACAGGG